rnacentral:lncRNA from 1 species
UCCGAAGUCGCCAAUGCGCUCGUGAGUCGGGAGACCUCCUCUGUGAGUCGGGAGACCUCCCCCUCAAGUCGGCCCUCUCGGUCGACCGACUGUUGCAGCUGGUCCACCAGAAUGACCCUAUCGACUUCAGCGGCCGCGACCUUGUCUCUCCAAGCCGCGCGUAGAUCACCGAAUUUUCGAUAUCGGACCUCUAGCUCGGAUAUGUUGUAAACCAGCUGCACAAAAUGAGACCGACCGUCAGAAGAUCGAACCCACAGAAACAACAACAAAAGUAAAGA